CCUCCUCCUCCUCCUCCUCCUCCUUCCUCCUUCCUCCUCCUCCUCCUCCUCCUCCCUCCUCUGCACCUUUGAGUCUUUGUCUCCAUUAUCCCCCCCUCAUUCUUUCAUCUCCCAGGGUCCCAGUUGCAGACACCUUGCAGGAGACAUAGCAGUUCUCUUGAGUCCACAGGCCAGGAAGGACAACAACAGAGUCUGGAGACACUUAGGAAAAACACCUCGCCUCCAGAUAAGUUUCUGGGACCCAUGAGAAUCUUGGGCUGCAUCCUCCGCAGGAUCUUCCCUGCAGGAUGGAGUAUUUCAAACUUGGAGCAAACUGUUACAUAACAGAGGGUUGGACCACGAACUUCCCACACGAUGAAGCUUGGAAUUGUUUUUGUCUUUUGAGAAAAAUCAAAUUUUUUUACCUCAUAAACUCAUUGAGGAUCCGCCCACUUUGGGAAUGGCUCCAUGGUGUCGGUCAUCUUUCCUGCCUCAGGUCGCCAGGAGGCAGGAGGUUUGGUUUCUACCAUGGAAAAUGGGAGUAAGAAGCUAGGCUUGGGAGUGUCCCAGAAGAGGAAGGGAGGAGGGGCUUGGCUGGGUUGGCCAGCCCCUCCUAGGUGCAAACAGAUGGAACACACCCCGCCCUGGCCGCUCUGGUGCCUGGUCCUGUGGGAUCAUAAAGACA